rnacentral:rRNA from 1 species
AGAGUUUGAUCAUGGCUCAGAACGAACGCUGGCGGCGUGCCUAACACAUGCAAGUCGUACGAGAAACCCUGGCUUCGGUUAGGGAAGUAAAGUGGCGCACGGGUGAGUAACACGUGAGUAAUCUACCCUUUUGACUGGAAUAACGUCGGGAAACUGGCGCUAAUACCGGAUAAUGUUUUGAGUCGCUAGGCUCAAAACCAAAGCAGGCCUCUACUUGUAAGCCUGCACAGAAGGAUGAGCUCGCGCCCCAUUAGCUAGUUGGUAGGGUAAUGGCCUACCAAGGCGACGAUGGGUAGCCGGCCUGAGAGGGUGACCGGCCACACUGGAACUGAAACACGGUCCAGACUCCUACGGGAGGCAGCAGUGAGGAAUUUUGCGCAAUGGGCGAAAGCCUGACGCAGCGACGCCGCGUGGGCGAUGAAGCUUCUUGGAGUGUAAAGCCCUGUCAGGUGGGACGAAUUCGGGGUGCAAUAAUAAGGCAUCCCGCUGACGGUACCACCGGAGGAAGCCCCGGCUAACUCCGUGCCAGCAGCCGCGGUAAUACGGAGGGGGCAAGCGUUGUUCGGAAUCACUGGGUGUAAAGGGUGCGUAGGCGGUCUGUUAAGUCUGAUGUGAAAUCCCUCGGCUCAACUGAGGAACUGCAUUGGAAACUGGCGGGCUGGAGUACUGAAGAGGAGAGCGGAAUUCCUGGUGUAGCGGUGAAAUGCGUAGAUACCAGGAGGAACACCGGUGGCGAAGGCGGCUCUCUGGUCAGAUACUGACGCUGAGGCACGAAAGCGUGGGGAGCAAACGGGAUUAGAUACCCCGGUAGU